CCGCUGCCGGUCGUCCAGGCACGAUAUGACCCGUUGGGAGUGGGUCGUGGUGCCGUAGCGCCCGGACGGAUCGCGUUCGUUGUAGCGGUC
rnacentral:tRNA from 1 species